UUCUGAAGGACUUCCUCUUGGUCUCUUUGCAGUCAGUAUUUUUUCUUGUUCUGACCCUUUUCCAUAAGAUCUCAUGGGAACAACUGGUCCAGUAUCUUGUCUGGAAGUCCAGCACUGAUUGGCUUGUCCAGUCCGUACAGGCCUCCUUUCUCCAUAUGUUAUUCCAUCUCACGGUGUUUUGUUUGUUUUCUUGUUUUGUUUUUUUCCUGUGGGACUCAUGACAGUCAAUGCAGAGACAUCCUUGUGUGGGUAAAGGCUGUGAAAUUUGGGUCACUUCAACCAAUGUGAGCCAUAAUCCUUUUAGGGGUACUGGUAUAAAUGCGCCCACAUUUUAAAAGAUUAUUACUUUUAAAUCUGGAAGGAUCAGUUUGCCCUCCAGCAUAGUAUCCAAAGGCCAUUUCUACUUGUGACUUCCAGGAAAUUUACUUUUUUGUAGGUUUACCGCCUUGAACUUGGUUUUAAACAUAAUGAAAUUCAGCAUAUGGUCACCAAGAUCCCUAAGAUGCUAACUGCAAACAAAAGAAAACUUACGGAGACUUUUGAUUAUGUACACAAUGUGAUGAAUAUUCCCCACCAUAUCAUUGUCAAGUUCCCACAGGUAUUUAAUACAAGAGUAUUUAAAAUUAAAGAAAGACACUUGUUUCUUGCCUACUUGGGCAAAGCACAGUAUGAUCCAGCAAAACCUAACUAUGUGUCUUUGGACAAGUUCGUAUCUUUUCCUGAUGAAGUAUUUUGUAAAGAGAUUGCCAAAGCUUCAGUAAACGAUUUUGAGAAAUUCUUAAAAACUCUUUAGUUUUUGAUGAAUGUUUAAAUAUAUUCUUGUAAAUAUAUACAUGAAUAAACUUAUUUUUAAAAU
rnacentral:lncRNA from 1 species